rnacentral:tRNA from 1 species
CAGCCUGUGACGCAGUGGUUAGCGUGUCGUUCUUAUAUUGUAUGCUCCCGGUUAGCAUCCAGUAUGACUUCUUUCGAGGAAUGCGAAAGUCGCGAGUUCAAGUCUCGCCAGGAUCA